rnacentral:rRNA from 1 species
AGUCACGAGUUUGAUCAUGGCUCAGAUUGAACGCUGGCGGAAUGCUUUACACAUGCAAGUCGAACGGUAGAGGGGGCAACCCCUUGAGAGUGGCGAACGGGUGAGUAAUAUAUCGGAACGUGCCCAGUCGUGGGGGAUAACGUAGCGAAAGUUACGCUAAUACCGCAUACGAUCUAAGGAUGAAAGCGGGGGAUCGCAAGACCUCGCGCGAUUGGAGCGGCCGAUAUCAGAUUAGGUAGUUGGUGGGGUAAAGGCUCACCAAGCCAACGAUCUGUAGCUGGUCUGAGAGGACGACCAGCCACACUGGAACUGAGACACGGUCCAGACUCCUACGGGAGGCAGCAGUGGGGAAUUUUGGACAAUGGACGCAAGUCUGAUCCAGCCAUUCCGCGUGCAGGAUGAAGGCCCUCGGGUUGUAAACUGCUUUUGUACGGAACGAAAAGGUUUCUCUUAAUACGAGGAGCUCAUGACGGUACCGUAAGAAUAAGCACCGGCUAACUACGUG